UACGGGAGGUGCAAGCGUUACUCGGAAUUACUGGGCGUAAAGCGUCCGUAGGCGUCCUUCCACGUCUGGUGUUAAAUCUCGGGGCUCAACCCCGAAUCUACGCUGGAAACGAGAAGGAUAGAGUCAUUCAGAGGCAUCUGGAAUGUCGUGUGUAGGGGUAAAAUCCGUAGAUACACGAUGGAACGCUAAAAGUGAAGACAGGAUGCUGGGAAUGUACUGACGCUCAGGGACGAAAGCGUGGGGAGCAAAGGGG
rnacentral:misc_RNA from 1 species